rnacentral:rRNA from 1 species
UACGUAGGGUGCAAGCGUUAUCCGGAUUCACUGGGUUUAAAGGGUGCGUAGGAGGGCAGGUAAGUCAGUGGAUGAAUCUCCGAGCUUAACUUGGAACUGCCGUUGAUACUAUCUGUCUUGAAUAUUGUGGAGGUGAGCGGAAUAUGUCAUGUAGCGGUGAAAUGCUUAGAUAUGACAUAGAACACCAAUUGCGAAGGCAGCUCACUACACGAAUAUUGACACUGAGGCACGAAAGCGUGGGGGAUCAAACAGG